AGCGAACGCUGGCGGCGUGCUUAACACAUGCAAGUCGAACGAUGAACUUGGAGCUUGCUCUGGGGGAUUAGUGGCGAACGGGUGAGUAACACGUGAGUAACCUGCCCUGGACUCUGGGAUAACUUCGAGAAAUCGGAGCUAAUACCGGAUAGGACCUUGCACCGCAUGGUGUGGGGUGGAAAGUUUUUCGGUUUGGGAUGGACUCGCGGCCUAUCAGCUUGUUGGUGAGGUAAUGGCUCACCAAGGCGUCGACGGGUAGACGGCCGGAGAGGGUGACCGGCCACACUGGGACUGAGGCACGGCCCGGACUCCUACGGGAGGCAGCAGUGGGGAAUAUUGCACAAUGGGCGCAAGCCUGAUGCAGCAACGCCGCGUGCGGGAUGACGGCCUUCGGGUUGUAAACCGCUUUUAGUAGGGAAGAAGCCUUCGGGUGACGGUACCUGCAGAAAAGGGACCGGCUAACCACGUGCCAGCCGCCGCAGUAAUAC
rnacentral:rRNA from 1 species